GCCCGACUGGCUCAGUUGGUGGAGCAUGCGACUCUUGAUCUUGGGGUUGUGAGUUUGAGCCCCAUGUUGGGUG
rnacentral:tRNA from 1 species